AUCCAGCUGACGAGUCCCAAAUAGGACGAAACGUCCAUAUGAGAU
rnacentral:hammerhead_ribozyme from 1 species